GAUGAACGCUAGCGGCAGGCCUAACACAUGCAAGUCGAGGGGUAACUAGAGUGAUAGCAAUAUUACUUUGGCUUGACCGGCGCACGGGUGCGUAACACGUAUGCAACCUACCUUAUACUGGGGAAUAACUUCGAGAAAUCGGCGCUAAUACCCCAUAACAUUGCGAAGAGGCAUCUCUUUGCAAUUAAAGCUCCGGCGGUAUAAGAUGGGCAUGCGUCCAAUUAGCUAGUUGGUGAGGUAACGGCUCACCAAGGCUACGAUUGGUAGGGGUUCUGAGAGGAUGAUACCCCACUCUGGUACUGCGACACGGACGAGGCUCCUUCGGGAGGCAGCAGUGAGGAAUAUUGCGCAAUGGACGAAAGUCUGACGCAGCCAUGCCGCGUGCAGGAGGACGGCCCUAUGGGUUGUAAACUGCUUUUGUACGAGAAUAAACCCUUCUACGUGUAGGAGGCUGAAGGUACCGUAAGAAUAAGCACCGGCUAACUCCGUGCCAGCAGCCGCGGUAACAC
rnacentral:rRNA from 1 species